UAUGGUCGGACUGAACAUUUUAGUAAGCAAGAAGCUAGCCCGAAACGAGCAGAAUGAAAAGAGUACAGGAGGCCGGACACACUCCCAAAUGGCUAUACAACCCAUGAGUUUAUGCGGCCUUUCUGAGAUGAAACAUUAAAAUCGGUGCCUGAAACUUUUAUUCAGUUUCGUCCGAAAGUAAAUCAUCUGCGAUUGGCGACUCAAAGCGGCAGAUACUGUGCAAGGCGAAGCAAACCUAAUAAUAAUAAUAAUAAAUAAUAUAAACAUAAAACAUAAAAUAAUUAUUAACAUAAUAAUGCUGAAUAAAGAAAUCAAGGCAAGAUCCUGGAAGGGUGCUGCCAAUAGCCAAUAUGUACAUA